AAAUUACAAGCCUGGCCUUAUCGUAACUUCUUACGCAGAUACUGUAUUUGAAUAAUUCAUAAUACGGACGUACAUUGUUAAUAAUAAUAUUACAUGUUUUGAAUUCGCUGACACUGAAAACAGCUGUUUAUGUGCGCUUUUUUUGGUCGGUUACGUUUGCCGUUUCUUCCCUGCUUUUUCAGGCUUUAAUUGUCGAAUGAAGGGCAAAUGGCUUUUUAAUACAGUAACUGUCAAGGCAUAGUUAUAUUUUGUACAAUAUUUUACUGUAAUUAUUUUGCUCUGAAUGUGUACUGUUUCAUCGUCGACGCUGCAGAAGGAAUGGCAGCCAGCAGCGCAGCCGUUCACUAUGGGCUGUGGCACAAGCCGGCUAUUUUUGUAAGAUAAUCGGAGAAUGGGCCGGCAGCGCGGCGGCGGCGCGCAACGGAUGCGAUGUGGGGACGUUGAAGACGAAAGCGGGCGAUGUAGGAUACGUGUUAUGCAGCUACGACGGAUGCUGCCUAUGGCAGCGCAACUGGACACCACCGACGUACUGCACUGUACGCGGCCGUUACAGAUUACAGUUGCAGUCGGCCGCAAUGCAUCAUCGCUGGCUGUUUGUUCAAGCGCUUUGCGCUUGCCUGGUUGAGAAGUUGAGCGGCGUCUUGGAAUUUGGCGCAGAGCAAAGUCAAACAGAGGAAGCAAGGCUAAUCGCAGCCAGGCACAUCUCUAACUCGGUCAUGAGCGCUGGCUGUCGCGAUCGGAUCGGCAAGGAGCAGUUUAACUGUUGAAUCUUCAAUAAGGCAACUGUUGCUAGUCCGUUACUGGGAAACAGUCUUGUUUGGGAGGUGGAAUAUACAUAUAUAUACGCUGAUUUCGUUUAACGCUUAAAAUGGUGUGGCCGACGGUGGUGUUGGCCGUGUGCCUGGUGGGCGGCAGUUACGUGGCCGUCCACGCCCUGCAGUGUCCCAAGUGCGAGGAGGCCCAGUGCGCGCCGCUGGUGGGGAAGCAGUGUUUGGCGGGCGUGGUCAAGGACAGCUGCGGCGCGCUCAAAACCACUUCAAAACAACCUAAGACUUACAGAAAUUCGUUGCCGGAGACCGUCAAGACCAUGGUGCACCAUGGUCCUCCAGCUUGGUGUCAUUAUCAAUGCCACGUGGCGUUGAUAAUGACACCAAGCUGGAGGGCCUCCCCCGUCCAAGACGGUUUUCCGUUAGAGUUGCAGGAAGCCGGGCGGAAGAGACCAAUGUCUACGAGAAAGCACGUCCUGUUGACACUGUACUGCGGGUCCAGCGCCCAGCCGCAUCGGGGUGGUAAGGGCAGCGGAGGAUACGGGAUGGUGUCGUUGUCGAUAUGAAGAUCCUUCGUCCCUUUUCAUUUUGCCUGUCCAGGCGUAGUUCACGCGGGAUUCGGUGUGGGUUUGGCGUUGGAGGGAGGAAGUGGUUGGCAUUUGCGCCUUCGGAGUAAUACUACAGGCCAUUAAGCCCGAUUGUCGCAGCCAGAAUGAGCUAUCAGGUAAAGCCGAACAGCUCCUUAGUUUCACUUCGCUGUUUUUGCUCAGGUACUUGUAAUGUACUUGGCUGGAUACAGACUGUACUCGCUGUCGAGCUUCGUGAUGCCCAAGCGUGCGUGACCUUUAACUAUGGAGCAAAGCAUUUAAUGUACAUAAUAAUGCGAUUCAUAACAAAUUUGACAAAUACAAAUUCUCAUUGCAAAUACGUACCCAUCCGAUAACCACGCCGGCAAGGUGGCUUAACACUGCCGCUUUAACACUUCCGCUUCCUUUAAGACGACCGCUUUCUACUACUUAGUACGAGUAGGUCGUAAUAGGCAUUAACCCUAAUUCAGCAGAGAUACUCAUUUUUGUUUUGACAAGAUACAUACUCUGUAUAGCCGCUACAGAGAAUUACUAGUACAUCUAAUAAGAACAGCCGAGCCCCGUUACGGGGUGAUUGGUUAGCUCGCUGUUUUUCCAAUAAACGUGACAUUCGUAAUUCUCGCCGGGAUUGCAGACGUACUGGCAGUGUGUCAUUUUGAAGCCAAUAACUACAGAAAUUUUGCAAUGCGCCAAAAAGGGAAAAGAGCAUGGGCUACGUAAUACGCGAAGAUGGUCGCACGUUAAGCGCCCUGUAAUACCGUGGCCAUCGGCAUCGCCUCACAAUUUAAAGAGCACAUUACACUUGUUAAUCAAGCAUGCGUUCUUCUAUUUGUAACCGCCAUCAAAAGACUGUCACAAGGAACCAGGAAGCUCAGGAUUUAAUUGACAGUUCCACUCGUAUAUCACGUCUGUAGCCGGCAGAAAGGUGGACGGGUGGAUGGUGGAUGUUCAAUGAAAUCGCAUCCACCAAUCUGCCGACCUUCGGCAGAUUGGUGGAUGAGCCGUCCACCUUUCUGCCGGACCAUAUCCACCUUUGUGCCGAAGGUCGGCAGAUUGGUGGACGAGCCAUCCACCUUUCUGCCGGAGCACGUCCACCUUUUCUAAGGCAUCCACCUUUCUGCCGAACCAACCGAUCGGCGUCGAUUGAUGUGACAAUGAAGCUAUUGAGUGCAGUAAAGGCCCAUUGUAUGAUCAAUGUAUGCGUAAGAUUGUUUUGGUACGGAUCCAGACUUCUACGAUUUUGUUCGAAUUUUGAAAUGAAUUUUAAAAUUUCUGAAAUACCAUAAAGCAAUGCAAAAAAAGUGUUUGGGAGUGCGCGACAGCGAAAGUUCCCAUGGGUGUACAUUAAUUUGGUGCAAUGUACCGGGCCAAAUCCCUUAAUCAUUGGCUGGUAUCUGCGUACAGUACAGGUAGCAAUACGAUUAGUACAUAAAACGUUAGCAUUACGUACUAAAGACCAGUAUUAAAUUUUAAUAGCACGAUAACAA